rnacentral:rRNA from 1 species
UACGGAGGUGGCAAGCGUUGUUCGGAAUUACUGGGCGUAAAGGGCGCGUAGGCGGCAAGGCAAGUCAGGUGUGAAAGCCCCGAGCUUAACUCGGGAAUUGCAUCUGAAACUGCUGUGCUUGAGUUCUGGAGGGGGUAGUGGAAUUCCCAGUGUAGCGGUGAAAUGCGUAGAUAUUGGGAGGAACACCUGCGGCGAAGGCGGCCCCCUGGACCGGUACUGACGCUGAGGCGCGAAAGCGUGGGUAGCAAACGGG